rnacentral:tRNA from 1 species
AAACAACAGCAUUAAAUAAAUGCGUAUCGGUUUCGGCCCGAUAAGAGCGGUCACGCAUUGUUUU